rnacentral:rRNA from 1 species
UACGUAGGGUGCGAGCGUUAAUCGGAAUUACUGGGCGUAAAGCGUGCGCAGGCGGUUCGUUAAGUCAGCUGUGAAAGCCCCGGGCUCAACCUGGGAAUUGCGGUUGAAACUGGCGAACUAGAAUCUGGCAGAGGGGGGUGGAAUUCCACGUGUAGCAGUGAAAUGCGUAGAGAUGUGGAGGAACACCGAUGGCGAAGGCAGCCCCCUGGGCUGAGAUUGACGCUCAGGCACGAAAGCGUGGGGAGCAAACCGG